rnacentral:sRNA from 1 species
CUAUUUUUACUGAGACAACUCUUGAUUUGGAAUGUAAGUUCUGGAACAAGAGGGAGCUGUAAUAAUUAAGCUUCCUGGCCUGCUGAGAAGCUCAAGUUGUUUCCCAUAGUUCUUCCCUGGCUUGAGCUGCCUGAGUUUACUGAUUGAUUGAAAGGUUGCAGGCUGUCAUUGCCAGUGCUUUGCAAGUCGGGUGGCCAUGACGGGAGGCAGACAAAAGCUGUGGCUUUUUCUUUUUUCCCUUUGCGGCAUAGGCUUAUCUCUUACAGUUCAUGUUGUCUUGGCUGCUAAGAGCGUCAUAUGUGAGACCCAAACACACAGUGACAUACACCUGCUCGGGCACCUGUUUCAUUUUUGGCAUUGAGGAGCUGGGAUGUUGUUGCUUUGUAUAUAGACAGCAGCAAAUAAAACUUGCAAGAGGAGCUGCUCCUUUAAGGCCAAGAGAAUUUCGAACUUCAGUUCUCUUAGAGUUUGAAUGGUGAAGAUAUUGAAUGGUGAAGAUAGCUGGAUUUAAGCUAUAUCCCUUUGAGGGCAGGACCUGGUAGUAGACCUAGCAUGUGAUAUCAGUCAGCACUGCUUUCCCUUUGAUUUUAUCGUAAGCCCUACCACAAAGUGGAUCUGUCUGGGUUUGGGGUUUUAAUAGAAUAUGGCAUGAGAAAGCAGAGUUUAUUGCUAUUUGUCAUGCUGCUAGCCGUUAUACUAUCGUGGUGCUUUAAAAAGAAGAAAGCUGACCUGUGGUCUUUUCUUAACAUGUUAUAGAUAGGAAAAAUAUCUAAAAACAAAAAGAAAAAACUGAAAAAGAAACAGAAGAGGCAGGCUGAGUUAUUGGAGAAGCGCCUGCAGGAGAUAGAAGAAUUGGAACGAGAAGCUGAAAGGAAAAUAAUAGAAGAAAACAUCACCUCAGCUGCACCUUCCAAUGACCAGGAUGGCGAAUACUGCCCAGAGGUGAAACUAAAAACAACAGGAUUAGAGGAGGCAGCCGAGGCAGAGACUGCAAAGGACAAUGGUGAAGCUGAGGACCAGGAAGAGAAAGAAGACACUGAGAAAGAAAACAUUGAAAAAGAUGAAGAUGAUGUAGAUCAGGAACUUGCGAACAUAGACCCUACGUGGAUAGAAUCACCUAAAACCAAUGGCCAUAUUGAGAAUGGCCCAUUCUCACUGGAGCAGCAACUGGACGAUGAAGAGGAUGAUGAAGAAGACUGCCCAAAUCCUGAGGAAUAUAAUCUUGAUGAGCCAAAUGCAGAAAGUGAUUACACAUAUAGCAGCUCCUAUGAACAAUUCAAUGGUGAAUUGCCAAAUGGACGACAUAAAAUUCCUGAGUCACAGUUCCCAGAGUUUUCCACCUCGUUGUUCUCUGGAUCCUUAGAACCUGUGGCCUGUGGCUCUGUGCUUUCUGAGGGAUCACCACUUACUGAGCAAGAGGAGAGCAGUCCAUUCCAUGACAGAAGCAGGACGGUUUCAGCCUCCAGUACUGGGGAUUUGCCAAAAGCAAAAACCCGGGCAGCUGACUUGUUGGUGAAUCCCCUGGAUCCACGGAAUGCAGAUAAAAUUAGAGUAAAAAUUGCUGACCUGGGAAAUGCUUGUUGGGUGCAUAAACACUUCACGGAAGACAUCCAGACGCGUCAGUACCGCUCCAUAGAGGUUUUAAUAGGAGCAGGGUACAGCACCCCUGCGGACAUCUGGAGCACGGCGUGUAUGGCAUUUGAGCUGGCAACGGGAGAUUAUUUGUUUGAACCACAUUCUGGGGAAGACUAUUCCAGAGACGAAGACCACAUAGCCCACAUCAUAGAGCUGCUAGGCAGUAUUCCAAGGCACUUUGCUCUAUCUGGAAAAUAUUCUCGGGAAUUCUUCAAUCGCAGAGGAGAACUGCGACACAUCACCAAGCUGAAGCCCUGGAGCCUCUUUGAUGUACUUGUGGAAAAGUAUGGCUGGCCCCAUGAAGAUGCUGCACAAUUUACAGAUUUCCUGAUCCCGAUGUUAGAAAUGGUUCCAGAAAAACGAGCCUCAGCUGGCGAAUGCCUUCGGCAUCCUUGGUUGAAUUCUUAGCAAAUUCUACCAAUAUUGCAUUCUGAGCUAGCAAAUGUUCCCAGUACAUUGGACCUAAACGGUGACUCUCAUUCUUUAACAGGAUUACAAGUGAGCUGGCUUCAUCCUCAGACCUUUAUUUUGCUUUGAGGUACUGUUGUUUGACAUUUUGCUUUUUGUGCACUGUGAUCCUGGGGAAGGGUAGUCUUUUGUCUUCAGCUAAGUAGUUUACUGACCAUUUUCUUCUGGAAACAAUAACAUGUCUCUAAGCAUUGUUUCUUGUGUUGUGUGACAUUCAAAUGUCAUUUUUUUGAAUGAAAAAUACUUUCCCCUUUGUGUUUUGGCAGGUUUUGUAACUAUUUAUGAAGAAAUAUUUUAGCUGAGUACUAUAUAAUUUACAAUCUUAAGAAAUUAUCAAGUUGGAACCAAGAAAUAGCAAGGAAAUGUACAAUUUUAUCUUCUGGCAAAGGGACAUCAUUCCUGUAUUAUAGUGUAUGUAAAUGCACCUGUAAAUGUUACUUUCCAUUAAAUAUGGGAGGGGGACUCAAAUUUCAGAAAAGCU